rnacentral:rRNA from 1 species
GAACGCUGGCGGCGUGCUUAACACAUGCAAGUCGAGCGGUAAGGCCCUUUCGGGGGUACACGAGCGGCGAACGGGUGAGUAACACGUGGGUGACCUGCCCUCAGCUCUGGGAUAAGCCUGGGAAACCGGGUCUAAUACCGGAUAUGACUCCAUGACGCAUGUUGUGGGGUGGAAAGCCUUGUGCGGCUGAGGAUGGGCCCGCGGCCUAUCAGCUUGUUGGUGGGGUGANGGCCUACCAAGGCGACGACGGGUAGCCGGCCUGAGAGGGCGACCGGCCACACUGGGACUGAGACACGGCCCAGACUCCUACGGGAGGCAGCAGUGGGGAAUCUUGCGCAAUGGGCGAAAGCCUGACGCAGCGACGCCGCGUGAGGGAUGACGGCCU